AAAUUACUCCCUCCAUUCGGAAUUACUUGUCACAAAAAUGGAUGUAUCUACAACUAAAAUACAUCUAGAUACAUUCAUUUCUUCAACAAGUAAUUCCGAACGGAGGGAGUACAAU
rfam:Triticum aestivum genome assembly, contig: Triticum_aestivum_CS42_TGACv1_scaffold_328260_4BS